CAUCAACGUCAACGUAAACAAAUAGCGGGAGAUUAGCACGUUUGUAUUUUUAUCAUAUUAUCGUAUAGGCAAGUGGAGUUAUGGAGGGUCGAGAUUAUUUACUAAAAUUUAACCAAACUGCCACAUGGGCAGCAACUAAAAAAUCAAUCUGACGUCAGGCUUCUGCUGCGUGUGGAGAGAAAGUAGAGUGGUUAUCGCACUUUCAAUGAGGAGAACUUUGUCGAGUGGCUAGCUGGUAGCGCUAAACUUCAGCUACUAAUUGCUGGCCAUGUCUUAUUUUUGACAAAGAUUCAUGCUCCCUGAACAAUCUCUGGGUCUCUUGUUGACCACUUCGCCACCAUGAAAGACAGGAGAAUAGCCUUCCUCUACAAAUAGGACAACAGAGAGGAGUUGGUUUGCAAGAGGAGGCAUUAUCUUGAUGGUGGAGACAAACUGUCGAGCCCGGAGGAGAAAGGGAAGGGGAAAAGGAAGAAACUGAAGAAUGGUCGAUAUUCUGACGACGACGACGUAUCGCUGAUGCUGCAAAGUUGAAGUUCACCUACGUAACUGAUACGAACAUAAAAGCAUUUAUACGACAAAAGCUGAACAAUGCUGCCAAAUUUCAGAAACAAUAACUUAUCAACUGUUUAAAGAAAGUUAAACUUUUGUUCUAUUUUUUUUGUAUUUUAG
ensembl:lncRNA